rnacentral:lncRNA from 1 species
UUUUGUUUAUUUUAAGGGGGUUUUUUGGUCAGAAAAAAAAAUCUUGUGUGGACUUCUUAAGAAACUGCAACAGAAAACACAGCAUCACUGGUUCCUUUUUAUAUUUGUCAUUGAGAAGAGAACAUGUUAUAGCUGUGACCACAGGUGCAAGUGCAGUGUCAAUUCCAUUUCAUAAAUGUGAGCAUAUAUUUAUCUUUGAAAACCAUCUAUAGAAAGAGGUUAUUGUUGCUGCAUUGCUUCAGCCAAGACUUGGCAGAACUAAGCCAACCCCUGGCUUAGGGCUAGAAGAUCACAGACACCAAUAUGGAGGAUGACCAAAUAGCGUUUUAUUAAACAACAGCAGGCAUUAUAUGCCUUUCGGCCACACGGAAGUACCUAUGCUGACCCAAUCAGAAGGCAGGUUAACAAUUUUUACCUUUUAUGGUAUUGCUGAGCCUCGCCCCACAAUUCCCCUCUCCAUGCUAUGGGGCUUGUGAGAGUAUCCGGGGAGGGGCUCUCUCUUUCCGUACAUCGCGAUAUCUUCCGGCCGCCAGACCUUAACUACCUACAUUUCCCCCUCCCCAUGCACAAAUAAGGUGAUUAAGAUAAAACAAUCCUAAAAAUACAUAUCAUAAAACUUGGUGCAAACCUAGCAAAUGUGUGCUGUUUCUACGCUAUUUUUUACAAAAAUUUAGAAAUAUACAUCAUAAGUUUAGAUAGAAAAUAUAAGGCACGCUAAACAGGAUAACUGGGGGACAACUGAGAGUAGUGGUGUAUAACUAGGGAUAGCUAAAAGGAAUUUCAAACGGAAAUAGUCUUAGAGCAAUCGUUGAUGUGCUAUUAACAUAAUGCUAACACUCUCUGUUGUCACAGUUUGAUAUUUACCAUUCCCUGUAGUUUAGUGACAUGCAAAUACAACCUGGAUUCAUUUCACAAAAAUUGCGUAUUUUGUUUGAUUUUGAGGAGUUUUAAAUAUAUCUGUCAUGCUACAUUAAGUUCUAGUCAUUUUUAGCUGUUCAUUUUGUAGGUAGUUAAGGUCUGGCGGCCGGAAGAUAUCGCGCUGUACGGAAAGAGAGUGCCCCUCCCCUGAUACUUUUAGAAGCCUCAUAGCAUGGAGAGGGGAAUUGUGGGGCAAGGCCUGGCGAUACCAUAAAAGGCAAAAAUUGUUAACCUGCCUUCUGAUUGGAUCAGCAUAGGUACUUCCGCGUGGCCGAAGGUAUAUAAUGCCUGCUGUUGUUCAAUAAAACGCUAUUUGAUCAUCCUCCAUAUUGGUGUCUGUGAUCUCUAGCCCUAAGCCAGGGGGUUGGCUUAGCUCUGCAAGUCUUGGCUGAAGCAACGCAGCAACA